UAUAUAUAUAUGUUGUGAAGGACAGCGACGCCUUUAAGGAAUGGCGAAGCUCAGCAUAAAUUGGAGAGGCGGGGUCACUGGAUUUGAAAAGGAAGCCAGGCAGAACAAUCGGGGGUUCGUGGGGAACACCGUUGGAUUGUCCUGCCUGACCAAGCCCUUGGUCUAUUUGCUUUUCAGUACCUUCUUGCCUAAGAAUAUGGAAUAUGGCAGACUACAAUGAUCAGUAUGAUCAGCUGAAGAACGAAUUAAAAGAAGGAAUACUGACAGACAAUGGGUUUGAUACACGCGUGAAAGCCCUGUUGAAAAGGACAUCGCAGUCAGACGUCGUCAGUAAAUGCCAAGAUGCAGCAAGUGUCUUUGCAGAAAUGAAAAAGGCACUACACAGCAAAAGUCUACCAAUAAAAAAGAAACAAUAUCCUUUAAAAAAGGAAGAAAGAAAAGUACUAAAGGUUAGGGUUAGACCUAUGGAGUGGA